rnacentral:lncRNA from 1 species
CGAAACCCUAAUCCAUUUGUAACCCUAAUAAGUUAGUUAACUAAUGUACUAAUAACAUUAAAGAUGAGACAUCGAGGUAUAACUUAUACUAAGAUUUCUUUUAUCUGAGACUUUGUGACUGUACUGAUUUUAAUUUCUUUGCACCCAGCUCUCUCUUUCCUUUCUUUCUCCUUUUGUAUCUUUUUUCACUUCUCUUCUUUGCCAUUGCUCUUCCAUUGUUGUGUCGUCGUUCAUCAAACUUUCUUUUGUUUUCAACUCAUUCCAAGACUAUAUAUAUCAAGGAAAGUUUGACAAUUGUUUGAUAUAGUAUAACGAGAAACGAGUGGUUGUAUCAUUGAAUAGGAGGGAGAAAAAAAGAAGAACGAACUAGGUGAGAAAAUGAAUUGACAAAUUGCAAGGGACGAAAUGAAAGUGGAGGCAGCAAACUCUUGCCUUGUAAAAAAGAGAAAAAGAGGACGAAAACGAAAAAGAGAGAAAUAGGGAUGGGUGAAAGGGAGAGAAAUAAGAGGAGGGAAAGAGGGAUAAAAAGCCAUGAAAGCUUAAGUUGUCACCUCAUAUAGCAUUGUGCUUCACUAAAUGGAAGGAAAAGGUAACACACAGAGGUAGAUUGAAAGAAGUCGAAUGAAUUCCAU